ensembl:lncRNA DRAIC downregulated RNA in cancer, inhibitor of cell invasion and migration
GGAGCUGGUUCCAGGAAAGAAGGGCACAUGAGCAAACAUGAUGGCCCCUUUAUGAGAGGUAAUUUACUGAAAUGCACAGCGAUUACCUGCUCACCCAGCCCUGAUGUAAUUAAAAAUGGCAGGCUAGGGGCUCUGUUUCCCCCGGCUCUGGCAGAGAAACCUGGGUUUCGACUUGUGAAGCUUGAGGUUGGAUGUGGGAAUUGGCUUGGAGUCAUAGGCGAUGAGAGGGACAUUAGGAUAUUAUGAAGCCCGUGAACUCAACUCCUGAGAAGGACGCAGCAGAGCGAGAGAAAAGAUGGAAUAAAAAGGCCUACCUCAUUGGGCUCGUGUGGGUGAGGAGAACUGAAGAGUCUGAGAGCGCGGCACGAGCCAGAGGCUACGGAAAACACUGCCCUCCUACACUCCACCUUGGAGAGACCCAGAAAAGAACAAGCUUCAUUUGUAAAAAAGGAAAACAACUCAGGCAAUGGGGGUGGCUUAAAGGCACUCUACAGUGUGCAGAUGCCUUCCACUUCUUCCAUCUGCCCUGUCUCUCCAAGAACCCCUAUGGCCCCGGUCUCAGAACAGAGCUGAGUGCAGAAAUGAAAAUCUAUGGCUCUGUGUUCCAAAACGAUGAAGAAUUUCAAGAUGGUGGCAGUGGUAAAAUCUUUCUCCAGGAAAAAUCUGUCCUUGGCCCAAUGUGUAAACACUUGCUGAGUAUUGUGAAACCAGCAACUUGUUCACAAUUCUUCUGAAUUUCUUGGGAAAUUUGAAGUGGAGUACCUGUACCAACAUGAAAUGACACGAAUUUAAGUGACGCUCAACAACGAAAAGCAAAAAGAACCAAAGAGGAAGCAACUGAAACAACAUCUGGAUGUAUUUAAAAAUAUACAAUGCCUCCAAAAUCAGGUGUCAUUAAUGAAAAUUCUGAAGAAAUGCCACCGGACAUAGCCAACGCACCUACGCUGUUGUUAUUCAUUUCCUGCUUUUCACAGAAAACAAUUUUGUUGCAUGGAAGAUCGUGAACUUCAAAGGGCAGAGGGGAAACUGUCCCUUGGCCUCUACCCCUCCAAGGCCCCACUUUUUUGUCAACACUCCUUGGACGCAGCAGAAGUAUGAACAUAAUAUGGUCCUGAAUGAGGCUGAGUCUUUGGGCGCAGAAGACCCGGGUUAAUAAAAAUAGGAAGGUAAGAAAAGAAAAGAAAAAUCAAGACACAUCAUAGGACUAAAUUCCUAUUAUUUAUCCACUCAGGAUUGACCACCCCUUUGGGCCAGAUAGUUGUACCCCCAUGUACCAGGUGGGCACAUGAAGACACAAGAAGUGCUGUGAUGGUUCAUUUUGCACGUCACCUUGCGUGGAGUAUGCCAACUCAUUGUUUGGUCAAACACUAGUCUGGACAUGGUGGUAAAGGUAUUUUUUAGAUGAGAUUAACACUUAAAUCAGUAAAGCAGGUUACCCACCAUACUACGGGUGGGCCCUGUCCAAUCAGUUGAAGGCAUUAAGAACAAAGAUUGAGGUUUCCUAAAGAAGAUGGAAUUCUCCUUGAGACUACAACAUAGAAACCCUAUCUGAGUUUCCAGCCUGUUGCCCUGUGGAAUUCAAACUCAGGACUCCGGUCUAUGACAUUAACCCUCACUUAACUUUUCAGCCUGCCAGCCUGCCCUAUGGAUUUCGGACUUGCCAGCCACACAAUUCCUUAAAAUAAAUCUCUCCGUCUCUGUCUGUUUCUCUCUGUCUAUAUACACACCUGCAUGCAUAUAUACAUAUAUAUAUGUAUGCAUCUAUAUAUUUAUAUCUAAUCUCGUAUUGCUUAUUGGUUCUGUUUCUCUGUAGAACUCUGCCUAAUACAGCUGAAGAUGUAUUCUCUUUAGAAA